GAGUUUGAUCGUGGCUCAGGAUGAACGCUGGCGGUGUGCCUAAUACAUGCAAGUCGAGCGAACGGACGAGAAGCUUGCUUCUCUGAUGUUAGCGGCGGACGGGUGAGUAACACGUGGAUAACCUACCUAUAAGACUGGGAUAACUUCGGGAAACCGGAGCUAAUACCGGAUAAUAUUUUGAACCGCAUGGUUCAAAAGUAAAAGACGGUCUUGCUGUCACCUAUAGAUGGAUCCGCGCUGCAUUAGCUAGUUGGUAAGGUAACGGCUUACCAAGGCAACGAUGCAUAGCCGACCUGAGAGGGUGAUCGGCCACACUGGAACUGAGACACGGUCCAGACUCCUACGGGAGGCAGCAGUAGGGAAUCUUCCGCAAUGGGCGAAAGCCUGACGGAGCAACGCCGCGUGAGUGAUGAAGGUCUUCGGAUCGUAAAACUCUGUUAUUAGGGAAGAACAUAUGUGUAAGUAACUGUGCACAUCUUGACGGUACCUAAUCAGAAAGCCACGGCUAACUACGUGCC
rnacentral:rRNA from 1 species